rnacentral:rRNA from 1 species
AUACGAAAGGUGCAAGCGUUGUUCAGAUUUACUGGGCGUAAAGAGAGUGUAGGUUGUUUAUUAAGUCGGAUGUGAAAUCCCGGGGCUCAACCUCGGAACUGCAUUCGAUACUGGUAGACUAGAGUUCGGGAGGGGUAAGCGGAAUUCCGUGUGUAGCAGUGAAAUGCGUAGAUAUACGGAGGAACACCUGAGGCGAAGGCGGCUUACUGGACCGAUACUGACACUGAGACUCGAAAGCGUGGGUAGCAAACAGGAUUAGAAACCCCAGUAGUCC